rnacentral:rRNA from 1 species
CCUACGGGUGGCAGCAGUGGGGAAUAUUGCACAAUGGGGGAAACCCUGAUGCAGCAACGCCGCGUGAGUGAGGAAGUAUUUCGGUAUGUAAAGCUCUAUCAGCAGGGAAUAGAAAAGAAGGUACCUGAAAAAGUAGCCCCGGCUAACUACGUGCCAGCAGCCGCGGUAAUACGUAGGGGGCAAGCGUUAUCCGGAUUUACUGGGUGUAAAGGGAGCGGAGACGGAAAGGCAAGUCAGAAGGGAAAACCCAAGGCUCAACCAUGGGACUGCUUUUGAAACUGGCAAACUAGAGUAGGAGAGAGGUAAGAGGAAUGCGUAGUGUAGCGGUGAAAUGCGUAGAUAUUAGGAAGAACACCAGUGGCGAAGGCGGCUUACUGGACCGAAACUGACGUUGAGGCUCGAAAGCGUGGGGAGCGAACAGGAUUAGAUACCCUAGUAGUC